rnacentral:misc_RNA from 1 species
GAUGAAGAACGUAGCGAAAUGCGAUAAGUAAUGUGAAUUGCAGAAUUCAGUGAAUCAUCGAAUCUUUGAACGCACAUUGCGCCCGCCAGCAUUCUGGCGGGCAUGCCUGUUCGAGCGUCAUUUCAACCCUCGAGCCCCCCCGGGGGCCUCGGUGUUGGGGGACGGCACACCAGCCGCCCCCGAAAUGCAGUGGCGACCCCGCCGCAGCCUCCCCUGCGUAGUAGCACACACCUCGCACCGGAGCGCGGAGGCGGUCACGCCGUAAAACGCCCAACUUUCUUAGAGUUGACCUCGGAUCAGGUAAGAAUACCCGCUGAACUUAAGCAUAUCAAUAAGCGGAGGA